AACGCGUAGGGUGCGAGCGUUGUCCGGAAUUAUUGGGCGUAAAGAGCUCGUAGGCGGUGUGUCGCGUCGGCCGUGAAAACCUGCAGCUUAACUGUGGGCUUGCGGUCGAUACGGGCAUCACUUGAGUUCGGCAGGGGAGACUGGAAUUCCUGGUGUAGCGGUGAAAUGCGCAGAUAUCAGGAGGAACACCGGUGGCGAAGGCGGGUCUCUGGGCCGAUACUGACGCUGAGGAGCGAAAGCGUGGGGAGCGAACA
rnacentral:rRNA from 1 species